rnacentral:rRNA from 1 species
UACGUAGGGGGCAAGCGUUGUCCGGAUUUAUUGGGCGUAAAGAGCGUGUAGGCGGCCGUACAGGUCAGCUGUGAAAACUCGAGGCUCAACCUCGAGACGUCGGUUGAAACCGUACGGCUAGAGUCCGGAAGAGGAGAGUGGAAUUCCCGGUGUAGCGGUGAAAUGCGCAGAUAUCGGGAAGAACACCCGUGGCGAAGGCGGCGACCUGGACAGGAACUGACACUCAACUACGAAAGCGUGGGGAGCAAACAGG